rnacentral:sRNA from 1 species
CGUGCUCGUGGGUCCAUGGCCGUGUGAAAAGCUGCGUUGAGCGCAUUAAUUCGUUAGGGUACAACCAGACAGGACGCACUUUCUCUCCGAGCUGAGCUGCCGCGAAAGUCUGCCUUGCGUUAUCGUGUGUGUACCGUUCGAACCAACUGUUUUUGUGCAAAAGAUAAGCCAGAAGCCAGAAUCAGCUAGGAAGAGUACCCCCCAACAAAAAAAAAACAGCAAAGACAGAAAGACAGAACUAUUGCUUAGAAUAAAGUUUAUAACUUUUACAACGCUCCAGCAUCCUGAGUCCUGAAUCCAGAGUCCUGAGUCCAGAACAAAACUCCAGUUUUACUCUCUGGCCAUUCUUCCGCGCGUACCAGUGUGUGUGUCUGUGUGUGUAAGUGUCCGCGUCUCUCUGCGUGUGUGUGUCCGUGUCCGUGUGCGUAUCCCAAAACUCCAGCUACAGCUCCAGCUCCAGCAAAAAAAGUGUGUGUUCAUCAAUAAAAAUAUAAGCAAGAAACAUCUGAAAUCUAACUAAAAUUCAAUUAAAUAAUAACCGCUUAAAAACCAAGAACCAAGAAACACAGAGGAGGCAAAAGAGGAGCCACACAAACAAACAAAACAAAGCAAAACAAAACAAAGCAAACCAAAACAAAUAAAAAAGAGCAAUUAAAUCUUUCCAUUAAUUAUGGAACAUUCAUCAACAUUUUUGUUGUGUUUGUUCCAUCUUCAAAACGAAAAGGUCGCCGACUGUUUCCAGCUGCUGUCAUCAGAGGCGCAACGCCGACUGGGAAAGUCUACAACUAAAUAUACAACAAAUUCCACCAGAAGACCAACAGCUACAAGCAAAGCGAGCCACAAGAUACAGCAUCCACGACAGCAGCAACCUCAGCUUCAACUCUACAACAAAAUUGCUGGCUAAAAAUUAAAAAAAAAAAAACGAACGAAACAACGAUACUAAACUGAACUCAAGAAGGAUUUAAAAAG